GAUGAACGCUGGCGGCGUGCCUAAUACAUGCAAGUCGAGCGAACAGACGAGGAGCUUGCUCCUCUGACGUUAGCGGCGGACGGGUGAGUAACACGUGGAUACCCUACCUAUAAGACUGGGAUAACUUCGGGAAACCGGAGCUAAUCCCGGAUAAUAUAUUGAACCGCAUGGUUCAAUAGUGAAAGACGGUUUUGCUGUCACUUAUAGAUGGAUCCGCGCCGCAUUAGCUAGUUGGUAAGUUAACGGCUUACCAAGGCAACGAUGCGUAGCCGACCUGAGAGGGUGAUCGGCCACACGGGAACUGAGACACGGUCAAGACUCCUACGGGAGGCAGCAGAAGGGAAUCUUCCGCAAUGGGCGAAAGCCUGACGGAGCAACGCCGCGUGAGUGAUGAAGGUCUUCGGAUCGGAAAACUCUGUUAUUAGGGAAGAACAAAUGUGUAAGUAACUAUGCACGGCUUGACGGUACCGAAUAAGAAAGCCACGGCUAACUACGUG
rnacentral:rRNA from 1 species